GUCACGACGGUGCUGCGUUGCUUCUUGCCUCUCGGUGAGGACGAGUUGAUGACCCUCAGCGACAACGAACGCGAAGUGCGACGGCGCUUCUCUAACCCUCAAUAACGACGACUAGUUUUCCUGUCUCGGUCACGACGGUGUUGUCCUCAGUCGUCCUCUUCUUCUCUGCCGCUAGUCUUCUUUUUCUUCUCUUCUUUGACCUCUGCUCAAGCUCAGGUUUUCAAGUACUGUGGCAGCUGGGUUAAGGGGUUAUUGGUUUAUGGACUAUUCUGAUUUCCUGAAAUUAUUGAUUUCUAUUGUUGUUUCGUGCACUACUUACAUUUUUGUUGCAUUUCUUGAUUCCUUUCCGUCCGUUAAUUGUCCUACAGCUUCCUGAGCUUCAGAGAGGUUAGGGGAGAUUGCUUGAGUUAGUUACAAAUGGUGUAUUUUAGAGGAGAGGAAGAACAAAGAAAAAUUUAGCAAAAAUUAUUAGAAGAGAUUUAAAAAUGAAUGGGAUAAACACAAAGAUGACUUAUGACAGGGCACAAUAGCAUUGGUUGUUUCAUGUAUCUAACUCUAGUUAUUGUUA